AGAGGAAACCUCUCGCUGGGGCUAGGAGUUCGGCGGGGCGCGCGCCGGCGGCUGCGGAGCUGGCAGGUCUUAUUGAAUUUUCUGUGGGGAAAUUUAGAUACUUCGAGCUCAAUAGGCCCUUUCCAGAGGAAGCUAUUUUGCAUGAUAUUUCAAGCAAUGUGACUUUUCUUAUUUUCCAAAUACACUCACAGUAUCAGAAUACAACUGUUUCCUUUUCUCCGGCACUGCCAGUGGACUGGUUUUCAUCCUUAGACCAGAGCAGAGUACAUGCACUUGGUACUUGGGGACUUCAGGCAUACAGCCUGUCCAGAAUAUGGCUAUCCUACUCUCCUACUCAGAAAGAGAUCCUGUCCCUGGAGGCUGUAAUUUGGAGUUCGAUUUAGAUAUUGAUCCCAACAUUUACUUGGAGUAUAAUUUCUUUGAAACGACUAUCAAGUUUGCCCCAGCAAACCUAGGCUAUGCGAGAGGCGUAGAUCCCCCACCAUGUGACGCUGGGACAGACCAGGACUCCAGGUGGAGGUUGCAGUAUGAUGUCUAUCAGUAUUUUCUGCCUGAGAAUGACCUCACUGAGGA
rnacentral:lncRNA from 1 species